UUUAAAUUUAGAAUUUUUUUUGGCAACUAAAAGAGACUUACAGCCCAUGGUCAUGAUUUUAGUGGUCUCGGGAAGGGCGACGUGACGGAGCUUCCAACCGCUACGUGUGUUCCCGCUCUUUUUUUGAUAGUCUUCGGAAAAUUCCCUAACGCGUUUAUACGAUUUAUCUUCCAACCGUUAUGAUCAAUCACGCAAACUUGUGUACAAACUUUCUGGAUUGUAUCCCAGGGUCAUCGGCUCUGGCUCUCUAAGAGGACCAAGGCUUUAGCCUUCACUUUUCCGUAUCCUGCGCCGCUCUGGUGAUUUUCCCACUUUAAAUCAGAUGGCGCGUAAGCCCUCUUCUUGAACCGGGCCGCCGCAGUGCCCUUACCCAGUUGGGUGUUGUCGGAUCAAAACUGCAUCCAUGAUCGCGUGCAUCGCGCCAGCAGCUGGUACAUUAUUCAUUUAUCUGCAGUUUUGUACGACGUACGACGUACAUGCUUCGCAGGUGCCUACAUUACCGACAUCGUCUUCCCUCCUGAACCAUGCUGUACCUUAUAGGCUUUGACCGGCUUCCUCUAUUGGCCGAGACCCUCUCUGGCCACAAACUGCUAAGCCGCGAUCCCCUCCCGUUACACUGCCAGGUUGCCCCCUCCAGUGGCCAGUAAUACCUCUUGCGAGCCCGUGGAUACCGAUAUGCCCAUCAUGACCGGCCGACAUCGCGAACUCCCCGCCGGCUCCUGCGCAAGGGACAACGAUGCCGUGCGCCCCUCGGCU
rnacentral:sRNA from 1 species